ACUACGGGUGGCUGCAGUGAGGAAUAUUGGUCAAUGGGCGGAAGCCUGAACCAGCCAAGUAGCGUGCAGGAUGACGGCCCUACGGGUUGUAAACUGCUUUUAUACGGGAAUAACGCGCCUUACGUGUAGGGCUUUGCAUGUACCGUAUGAAUAAGGACCGGCUAAUUCCGUGCCAGCAGCCGCGGUAAUACGGAAGGUCCGGGCGUUAUCCGGAUUUAUUGGGUGUAAAGGGAGCGUAGGCCGCAUGUCAAGCGUGCUGUGAAAUGUCCGGGCUCAACCCGGGCCUUGCAGCGCGAACUGGCGUGCUUGAGUCCGCGGAAAGCAGGCGGAAUUCGUCGUGUAGCGGUGAAAUGCUUAGAUAUGACGAAGAACCCCGAUUGCGAAGGCAGCUUGCUGCAGCGGAACUGACGCUGAUGCUCGAAAGCGCGGGUAUCGAACAGGAUUAGAUACCCCUGUAGUC
rnacentral:rRNA from 1 species